GGGGAAUAUUGCACAAUGGGGGAAACCCUGAUGCAGCAACGCCGCGUGAGUGAUGACGGCCUUCGGUUGUAAAGCUCUGUCUUUGGGGACGAUAAUGACGGUACCCAAGGAGGAAGCCACGGCUAACUACGUGCCAGCAGCCGCGGUAAUACGUAGGUGGCAAGCGUUGUCCGGAUUUACUGGGCGUAAAGGGAGUGUAGGCGGAUUUUUUAAGUGGGAUGUGAAAUACCCGGGCUCAACCUGGGUGCUGCAUUCCAAACUGGAAAUCUAGAGUGCAGGAGGGGAAAGUGGAAUUCCUAGUGUAGCGGUGAAAUGCGUAGAGAUUAGGAAGAACACCAGUGGCGAAGGCGACUUUCUGGACUGUAACUGACGCUGAGGCUCGAAAGCGUGGGGAGCAAACAGGAUUAGAUACCCUGGUUAGU
rnacentral:rRNA from 1 species